AAGCUCGUAGUUGAAUUUCGGGGUUAGUAGGUUGGCCAUGCCUCUGGUAUGUACUGGUCUCACUGAUUCCUCCUUCCUUAUGAACCGUAAUGCCAUUAAUUUGGUGUUGCGGGGAAUUUGGACUGUUACUUUGAAAAAAUUAGAGUGUUUAAAGCAAGCUAACGCUUGAAUACAUUAGCAUGGAAUAAUGAAAUAGGACGUUCGAUCUUAUUUUGUUGGUUUCUAGGAUUGACGUAAUGAUUAAUAGGGAUAGUUGGG
rnacentral:rRNA from 1 species